rnacentral:lncRNA from 1 species
GUCCCACAUGGGUGAAACCAAAGCCCAGGGAGACCAGUGGACUUACCCAAUUUCACAAGGGAAGUAAGACCACACUUGGAACUUUACAGCUCCAGAUAGCGUGAUUUACAAAAGAAUAGGGAUAGCCUGGAGUUUGACUGGAGGAAGGAAACUAGGGUUAUGGUGGAUGGAGAAGUGACCUGCUUUUAGAGGAAACCAUGUGAGUCGGGGACUAGCAGGAAUUAAGCUUCAGGAGUGCCCUGGCAGGAAGUCUCCCCUAAUGCAGGUCCUCAGGAAAGUGGCUGUCAGUGAAAGCAGAGUGAAGAACUAUUAGCAGUGACCUUGGACUCCAGGACAGAGGAAGCGUUCUCGUGAAAGAUGAAAUGGAGAAGAGGCCUUUCUAAGAGAAGAAAUCCUCAUCUUCAUGCAAGGGCUGUGGCCUCAUCUCGCCCUCUUCCCUCCCAGCUGGACUGGAAACUAGAUUGGGCUGGCUGCCAGCCCUUGUAG